rnacentral:lncRNA from 1 species
CCUCAGCUCUUCGUUUUCCCUUCUCGAACUCCAGUCUCAAAGGGAAAGCCGUAAACCUGCUUCUGAGUCUCAGUUUCCCCUCUGGGGUUGAAAACAACCAGCAGCCUGCAGGCUUGGCCGUGUUCCUGCUUCUCAACAACAGUUUAGGGGAAUAUACGGUCAGAGCUCUCAGGGCACCUUGAUGGGCUGAUAGUCACGAAGCACGGAACUAAAACAGUCUCCUGGCUACUAAAGGACAAGUUGACGUUUCAGAAGGAGAGUGCUACUCACAUCAGUUGAAUAGAGGCCAGGGAUGCUCUCACCAUGCACAGGACAGCCCCCCAUGAUAAAGAAUCAUCUGGCCCAAAGGUCAAUAAUGCUGAAAAACUGGAAUGCAAGGAUAUGAAGAUGAAGUAAACACACAGAAUCACUUAGCAUUGACUUGUACCGAUUCACAAUAUUCAGGAACAAAUCUGAGCUUUUCUGACCUUAAAGUUCUUGGAAAAGAGACCAGACCUGCAUCAAUUACAAUAAACGAGAGCAAUCACAAAGCAUAUGUGCUCCUUCUUUUAAUUUUAGUGAUAUGAAUAAGGCAUUUUGGAGGAAAACAACCCACAGGCUAGGUGUAAGUCCCAUGGAUAAGUCCAUGGCCACUCAUCUGUGCUGCCACCUCCAGCAGAUUAUACAAGAACCCAAGAAAAAGAAUUUAUCCUUCUAUGUUAAAGAAGCAACAGAAUUGGACAGAUGAGACAAGCCAUAGAAAUGCCAUGCCAUGGACUCAAGAAUGAUUUUGUAUCAGACUUCAAAGAUCAUACAGCAUUUCCAGAUUUCUUAACAUCAACAGCUGAAGGAAAAAUGAUGAAAACUGCAGAAAUGUAUAUUACCAUGCUGAUCUGAUGUUUGAUGGCUUGUAGAGUCCCCCUGGUACGUAGUUGUAUAUUCUUCGUUGUGGGUCCUUCCAGUUGUGGCAUGUGGGACGCCGCCUCAGCGUGGUUUGAUGAGCAGUGCCAUGUCCCCGCCCAGGAUUCGAACCAACGAAACACUGGGCCGCCUGCGGCAGAGCGCGCGGACUUAAC